GCCAAGAUGGAGGCGUGGUGACUUUUCAACACAGCACUCUAUUAGGGGGAGAUCGUGAAUGUAAAUUCUCCCCAGUCUGAUAAUUCUAUGCAAGAGGUAAGUCACGUUUUGAAAUACUUUCAUCUUUUUUCAUAUUUACAAUGUGUACGAGUUCACUAUGUACAUUUCCUGAUGUAUAUGGUAUAUGUUUACGGUACAUGUUAGAUAUUGGGGGCUUCCUGUUAUGUGCUUUUGAUAUGUAUGAUGGCUGUGCAAGUGAGUUAGUUAGCAUGCUUGAGAUGUAAUGGUCGUAUUAGUCCCUGUUUAUACAGAUUUGUUGUUACAGAUUCAUGCUAUCGACAGCUAGCUAGAUAGACCCACUGGCUGCUGGACAAAUUAGCUACGUGUGUGUGUGUGUGUGUGUGGUGGGGGGGCUAAGUGAGGCACCAGAUGAGAAAUGAUAGGCUACCAGUGAGCUUUUACCCCCUUAUCAAGCCUAGCUAGCUUACUAGCCCCACUAGCUGCUGGACAAAUUAGCUACGUGAGUAAUGAUUCUCACUGCGCGGUAUGGCUGCGACAUAAAGGGAGCUAUCCUUUCUGAGGUGUAUCCUCAGGCUACAUGUUUACAGAUCAAAUACUGAAUUAAAGAGAACUGCCUGGGUAUAUUGGGGGGGGUACAAUAAAUGUAGCCUGAGGAUAUAUGGUUUCCAGUUUACAUGGGGGGUAUACAUGGCUGUGACUAAUCGAAGACAAUUCUCUUGGGAGCAACUGCACCGCCCUCAACCGCAAGGCUCUCCAGAGGGUAGUGCGGUCUGACCGCACAACGCAUCACCGGGGACAAACUACCUGCCCUCCAGGACACCUACACCACCCGAUGUCACAGGAAGGCCAAAAAGAUCAUCAAGCCACUGUCUGUUCACCCCGCUACCAUCCAGAAGGGAGAGCGAGAGAUUGACAGAGACAGUGAUUGGGAUUUUGAGCGGCCAGUGUGAAUUGGGAGUAGGCAUCACACGGGAGAGGGGAAGAGAGGGGGUCAGGUAGGUGGGUUAUGAAGCAGUACAUCCUUUAGUGCAACAUGCACUAAAUGUCAAGUCAUAUAUGUGUAUAGCUUCACAGAUGAGAUUUACUGCAAUGGGCCCUUAUCUCAUAGAUUUCCUAAACCAGCUGUAAGCAAUCAGUCUGAGUCUAUUACAUAAACAUUAAGGGAAAGGAACAUUUACACUACAUACUGUAUGUUUUAUAAAUAUUAUAGUUUGUUACAUCACAGGUUAUCAUUUAAUGACAAGGUUCUAAACGAAUGAACUAUUAUUAGUUAACAACUAUUAAACUUGUGUUAUUAGAAUCACCAUUACAUUUAUGCUAUAUUUGGAAUUGCCAAAUAGCAUGUCUGUCACACCCUGAUCUGUUUCACCUGUCUUUGUGGUUGUCUACACCCCCUUCCAGGUAAAACCACAUCUGCCCCAUUAUCCCCUGUGUAUUUAUACCUGUGUUUUCUGUUUGUCUGUUGCCAGUUCGUCUUGUCUCGUCAAGCCUACCAGCGUUUUCCCCGUACAGCAUUUUUCUCUCUAGUCCCUGUUUUCUAGUUUUCCCGCUUUUGACCAUUUUGCCUGCCCUGACCCUGAGCCUGACUGCUGUUCUGUACCUUGUGACACUGCCCUGGAUUACUGACCUCUACCCUGACCCUGAGCCUGCCUGCCGUUCUGUACCUUUCGGACUCUGCUCUGGAUUGCUGACCUCUGCCUGCCCUGUCAUUUGCCUGCCCCAUGUUUUUGUAAUAAAUUGUGUUACUUUGAACUGUCUGCAUCUGGGUCUUAUCCUGAGGUCUGAUAAUGUUUCUGAUAAUACUGUGUGAGAAAGUAGACUGAAUUUGGCAGUAUGUUUUCAUUGUCUUUAUCAAUAUUUUCAGUUAACCUCUAAAAGGUGACCCCACUGUUGCAGAAGUGAAAGAAAGGACAGAAAAGAUGUGGGGAUCCCUGAAAACUUUGGGAUACCUUUUCAAUUUUUCUUGUUUCUCAUUGACUGAAUCCCACAUUCUGAAAUGUAUUGUCGCCGUAAUUAUUUUCAGUUCUGCUUUACUGUUUUGGGUUCAUUUUGAAAUCUGAUAGAUUUACGACUUGAUUUAUGCUUGAGGGGAAAAUAAGUAAUUAAGAUAGUUGUUGAUAACCCAUAAUCAUAUUGUAUUUUUUGCUUGAUGUAGGAGCCAUGUAUUAACCCAAUUAAUCAAGCUUAAAUUAACCACAUUGUAGCCUGUUUAUACUUGGUUCUAACAUACGCCCUUUGUCCUGAUCUUUUCCACAUUCUGAUUGUGCCCACAUUUUUUGACACGUGUUGAAAAUUCAAAGAGUCAUUGUUUUCUGAUUGUGAUUAGAUCUUCCUGACCACCUCUGGAGGGGCCAGGAUAUCUGUUCAGAAUGAGGACACAGUGGAUGGAUAAGAGACAGAAUUUAAUACCAUGUGUAGAUGCUACAUUGUGUGCACAAUCAGAAUGUGUAUAAGUUUAGGACAAAGAAUGCAUGUCGGAACCAGUGGUGUAAAGAUUUUGGGUCUCUGUACUUUACUUUACUAUUUAUGCUGUAUUUUUACAACUUCUACGUUUACUUCAUUACAUUCCUAAAGAAAAUAAUGUACUUUUUACUCCAUACAUUUUUCCUGACACCCAAAAGUACUCAUUACAUUUUGAAUGCUAAGCAUGACAGGAAAAUUGUCAAAUUCACAUACUUAUCAAGAGAACAUCCCUGGUCAUCCCUAAUACGGGCUCACUAAACAAAUUAUUACUGGUUUUUAUAUGAUAUCUGAGUGCUGGAGUGUGCCUCUGGCUAUCCGUAAAUAAAUAAAAAACAAGACAAUUGUG